AUUGCCUAAGUGACUAUUGAAACAGAUGCCAUGUUCCAACAGCACCUUCGACAGAACAAGUGACAUCUCAGCAGGGAAAGUAAAGCAGUAUGGAGGGUGAAAUUGCAGAGGAGAACAAUGGAUUUCUUCCAUGAUGCAAUGGAACUCUUACAAUGAAGUUGAUCUCUUUCCUCCACACCUUCUGCUUAGAAAGAGCUUUCUACAGCAUUGAGCCCAUUAGAGAUCGCAGCCCUCCAAGACCAACAGGUGUAAUACAGUGCAGGUAGUGCUAAUCUAGCACCACAGAAUGGAUGCAGCACAGACAGCAGCAGUGCAAACUUCCUGAGCUGAGGGAGUCACCUCUAGGGCCCAGAGGGUCAUUUAGUCCCACACCCAAUUCUACCUUUCACUUGUCAAUCAAGACUUCCAGCAAAGACACCGGUUGUGAAGGUGGCUCUUGUGCAUGACCACUGGAAACUGAACAGAGACUGCCCAUGUAAUUCUAGUUGCAUAUUUAACAGCCAUCUGCGGUUCAAUAUUGAGAGCUACCUAGAGAGGUGCUAUACACUACCAACCCUCUGAGCCACUGAGUCCUCAGUCCUUGAUAUACGAUUAUACUUUA